AGUCAGCUAAAUUCCAUCUUUGUGAUAAAUCCCCCACAAAUAUUUUGUGAUCUCUCUGAUCUAAGCAGUGUUAAACCUUUUGAUUCCUUGUAUCCUUCCUCUCCCCUUUCUUAAAAUAGUCUGUAGCGCUCAUGUCAAGGACCUGCUCAGCUUCCCUUUCUCUAAAAUUGCAUAAUCCUACAAGAAUAUUUUCCCUUCUUUUCCUUCAGGAGCAAACAUUCUCAAAACAUUCUUAAAUGCAAACCCACAGGCACAGCAUGUGUCUGUCAACUCCAAGAGCAUUUGGAUGUUCGAAGGGAGAGGAUGUUUGACAUCUAACCCAUCGUGGAAAGAGGAGCCUCUACAUUGACAUGAAGGCAAUGGAUUCUCAGCAUUACAAGGCAAGACAGAACUUGAAGGAAGAAGGCUGGGAGGAAACCAAGGUUGAAUGAACACUGACUCUGUGCUCAGCCCUGAGCAAGCAGUGGAAAUGCCCCCGGGCUGUGAGCCAGGAAUUCAAAUCCCAGCUUGUAGAGCUGUUCUGGGGGUUAGAAGUUUGGGGUCCCUUGUUGCUGCACUCAUUCCAGGUUUGGGGCUGGCGCUGCCCUUCUGACCCCUCCCUAAGGUGGACACAGGAGAAGGAGCGGGGAGAAGAAACAGGUGGCCAGAAGACACCCCGUUGAGGGCUCCCUCUGCUUGCAACAGGACCUGCUGAGGUUGCAGUUGAAGUGCUGGUCUUCCCAGAGAAAAUAACCCCUCAUUCUCAAAGGAUGAGAGUGAGCCCUACGGGGCUGCAUGCUCUUGGCCAUGGGAGAUUAACUGUGGUCACAUAGAGUGUAAUCAGUGUGUAUUUAUGGAUCACUCACUACAUGCAAGACCAGGACACGGCCGGGAUUUACUGUGGGGCUGAAAGCAAGUCACUUAAAAAGGUAAAAAUUCAUGUCCUUUUAAUCUACUUUUCAGCAGGGAACAUCACGUCUGAAUGCUCGCGGCCUCUGCCUGCCUCGUGGGAUGGUGCUGGAAAUUAUACUCAUGUUUAGAUAGCAUUCUCUGCAAGUGGCUGCUGUUGUCCUUCCAUCAUCAGCACAGGCAGGUGCUGGGAGUACCCACCUUGGGGUGGGGUGGCAAGAGAGGGCCAGCUUGUAUCCGCCUCGUUGUCGUCCUUCCUUCCUGACUUGACUCUCUCCUCUGUGGCCUUCUCAGGAGUGGGAUGUGGUUGUGAGGAGCAUGUGUACUUUACCCCUCACCAGUCCAGAGAGGGGCACAUAGCCCAAACCUCUCCCCUUCCCAGAAACCUGCAAGUCCCCCUGGGUGCGCCUGUGUGAUGAGGCAGGCUCCGAGAGCCACAGGCUGGUGGGCCACUAGGGAAGCAGUAAAGGAAGACAUUUUAUGAUUCUAGCUGGAGAUAAUGAAUUGAAAAGCUGGUCUCUGUUUCUGGAAAUGAUGCCAGGAGGCCCUCAAAAUAAACGCCCACCUGUCCUUCAGGUCUCAACACCUGUUGCUCUUGGGACAGAGACCCCAGGCCCAAAAUAGGCACAGCUGCUAUGGAUGCUCGUCUUGCCCUCCUGGAGCUGAGACUGGGCCAUGUUUGGAAAUAUGUCUCCCUCCAUCCCCUCCUUCCAUCCUCAUUCGGAGCCUUAGGGCUUUAAGACGUGAGCUCUUUCCUCGCUCCCUCUCCCAAGUCUUUCUUGGGUAUCUCUGCUCCUCCCACCACCUGUUCCUGGGCAUGUCAUAGGCAGUUGGUAAAUGACAGAUGAAUGAAUACAUGUACAAGGAAACACAGAUCUGAAAUUUCUAGCAGCAAAGUUUGGAGCAGGAAGCUCUGGCUGGCCCUGGGCUUUUUGCUAAGGGUGUUCUGGCUUCGUGUGGCAGCACCCCUCCCCACCAGGCCUUUGCGAGGACGCUCGAUCCUCUCUUCAGGCUUCUGAGCAGUGUGAAUUGCAAACAGCCAUGCCCACUCCCCAGGCCAAGAAAACCAAGUUCAUGGCCAGGAUUGCUCACAAAAAAAAAAAAAAAGAACCACUUCUGCCUUAUCAUUCUCUCUUUAUUACCGAAAUGCGGAGGCAGAAAGUCAACAGAGAAAGAAUUGUUUUCCCCAAGGCCACACAGAUUGCUCUAACACUUGACUUUUCCUGCUAGGAGCUCAAUCCAAGAGAUGGGCUUUCUUUUGUUCUCUGACUAUAAAAGGGUGUCACCCUGUCACCAUCUUCUAUCACACAGGACCCCUAUGGGCUUGGUUUGGUUUUGUUCUUUCAUCAUUAUUAUUUGGAAAGUUAUAUUUCCUUUACUGUCCUUGAGGUGUGAGGCUUCACCUCAUCUUGUCUCCAUAUCCCUGAGUCACUAAGGAGUCCUAUGUCAAUGACACCUCUCCAUAUGCUUUACCUAAGCUGCCCCUUCUCUCAGCAAGUUCGCGCCAGGCUUCCCCAUGAAGGCCACCUAAGGGUGUCUAUCAUCCCCCUCCUAAAUCUCCCCAGGACUUUUGAACAAGGGCCAUGUCCCGUUUAAUGUCAGACAAAGAAGACUCAUCAAAGCCCAGGAGUUGGGAGUUCUUGCUCCUCACUGCCAUGGAAAGCAUGAAACAUCUGAGAUAAAAAUAAUCUGUGCCAUCCCCUGGCUCCGGAUGGACAGCAGUUGGGGCAUGAGCGCCUCCAGAAUGUCUCGGCAUUGCUGAGGGUAACCGGAUCGCCGCUCAGAUCCAGCAGACAGCCUCAGAACCUCCCAGCUGCUGUUGUUUUUAGCACUGGGAUUAUUGGUAGGGGUGUAAAUAGACAUCUGUGUUCUGGGUGGCUCGCUCACCCCACAUUCCUAGGCACACUUGUUUUAUUAAAGCUCUCAGCUGUCGGGUGAUCCAGGCGUGGAGAAAUGAAAGGCCGCCCUCACCAGCUGGUGGUGGACUGCAAACUGCAACCAGUUUUCCCCCAUAAGGACAUGUUACUCCUAUUAGAAACUGUGUCCCUCACACGUCCUUAAGAAGCGGGCCAUCUGCCAAUCAUAAAUCAAGAUCUCAGCUGUUCCAAAUAAAGAAAGAGUCUACCCUC